rnacentral:rRNA from 1 species
AUUGAACGCUGGCGGCAUGCCUUACACAUGCAAGUCGAACGGUAACAGGUCUUCGGAUGCUGACGAGUGGCGAACGGGUGAGUAAUACAUCGGAACGUGCCCAGACGUGGGGGAUAACGAGGCGAAAGCUUUGCUAAUACCGCAUACGAUCUAAGGAUGAAAGCAGGGGACCGCAAGGCCUUGCGCGUUUGGAGCGGCCGAUGGCAGAUUAGGUAGUUGGUGGGAUAAAAGCUUACCAAGCCGACGAUCUGUAGCUGGUCUGAGAGGACGACCAGCCACACUGGGACUGAGACACGGCCCAGACUCCUACGGGAGGCAGCAGUGGGGAAUUUUGGACAAUGGGCGAAAGCCUGAUCCAGCAAUGCCGCGUGCAGGAUGAAGGCCUUCGGGUUGUAAACUGCUUUUGUACGGAACGAAAAGGCUCUGGCUAACACCUGGGGCACAUGACGGUACCGUAAGAAUAAGCACCGGCUAACUACGUG